GGACUCAGCAGCACACAUACUAAAAUUGAAACAAUACAGUGAAGAUUAUUAUAGCCCCUGUGCAAGGAUGAUGCUCAAAUUUAUGAAGCAUUCCAUAAAACA